AAACAGGAAACUAUUCUAUUGUCAAUAGACGACAUGAUCUACAAUAGGACAUUUCUGAAAGACAUUCUUUAUCCAUGCUCUAAAGACAAAUAAAAAUGCUUGCUUAUCCUGAUUGCGUAAGGUAGCUUUAUGAGCAUUUCAUAUUACUAUUGUCAAUAAAGUUGUUUUCUUGUUAUAAGAAGGGCUUACAAGCUUUUCUUGAUAAUUA
rnacentral:misc_RNA from 1 species